AGUUAUGACAAUACCUUCCUCGGCUUGAACGUUGGGCUCUUCGAACUCUUCUCCUUGAAUGGAGAAGAUUUUUCCGUGGAUCCUUCCUUGGCCACCAUAGAAUCCACCUCGCCCACAACCUCCUUGAUAGUUUCUGAAAUUUACUUAGUCUGUACCCCGACCUUGAUUCACAGGCCCUGCUCUGCUAGCAUAGUUUCCAACAUUGCUUUGGCCUUGCCUGGGCUACCUUCCUUCCUUAUCUGGACAAUAUUUAUCAUAUGUCACUAGUAGAAAAAAAGUUAAUUUGCGUCUCCUGUGUCACACAACUGGCGAACCCACGCAGAAGUGUAGGGGGGAGUCAUUUGCGUCGGAUACAACGGGGGUUCGACGCAAAUCAUAAGUCAUGUGCGUCAGAUUUACACUAGUGUUCGACACAAAAAAUUAAAGCAAAUGGAUGCAUGAUCAAAUUGCGUCGGAUAUAAUUAAUGUACGACGCACAUAAUGAAAAUAAAAUGAUACUUCAUGUGCGUUAUGCGUCGGAUCUCAUUAUCCAUGUGACGCACAUGGUUCGCUUCCCCCAUUUUUUGUUCUGGUCUCAAUCCUCUCAAAUAACCCUACCAACAUUUUCACUUAGUCGUCUACCUCUCUUUCUCUCUCCUCCCUCCCUAUCUCCCUCUCCCUUUCGCAAAUUUCAUCGCCUUUCAUCUCCUUCACUCGUCAAAGUUCAUCACUCAUAGCCUGUCAAACUUCUCCUCCUUCACUAGUCACGAUUUCAUCACUCAUCACAUUUCAUUGUCGAUUCAGAUUUGGAAAACAUCGAUCACUCUCGAAAUUUUCGAAAAACACUCGUCGCACAACCUCCCUCUCUUCGGCGAAGGAACGCAGCCUCACUCAUCGUUGGUUUAGAUUUGAAGUUUUCGAUUCUUAACGGAAAAAUGGUUGGACAUGAAUUGAGGUUAUGCAUUUAAUCGCUUCAUUUUUUAAGUUUUUUUUUUUUGGAAUUGAUUCCUUUACAUGAAUUUUUAGGGUUUUUUUGUGUUAGUUAUGUUUUUUUUCAAUUUUUUUAAUUUCGUUUCAUCCUUAAUUUCUAUUCAAAUUUGCGUUCUUUCUUUUAUGCUUGUACUUCGUUCAUUUAUUUCGAUUCAGAUUUGGGUCAUGUAUUCCUGUAUUUCAUUUCAUCAUAAUGAAAUAAGUGAUAUUAAUUUAUGUAAAAGCUAAAUCAACUUUCAUUAGAUUUAAUUUUAUACGAAUUUUUCCAAUCACUAUAUCGAAUUUUUUGUUCGUUCGUUCGUAAUUGAUUCAAUUUCGUUCGUUCAUAAAUGCUCGAUCCCUCUCUUUCAUCUUUUUUUUUGUCUCUUUUUUUGUUUCUUAUUAUUUGGCUUCCUCUAACCCCCCCCCCCCUUUUUCUCCCUUCAAAUUCAUACAAUGAGUUGAGUUUUAACCAAUUUCCUAACUGGGUUUUGUUCACUUCAUUUAUAGUUUUAAACCCAUAAAUUAGAUUGCUUAAAAACUUAUAGUAAUCUCUUUGUUAGUUCUUGAUUUCUUGGGAAAAAAAGGUAGGAUUUUUAUUUUGGACUUUUACCCAAAUUUUCUUGGUGUUGGUUUUUUUGUGUGCAAAGUAAGAAACUUUCAAUUAUUUUGUCGAGAUUGAAAGCUUGAUCCAUUUUUCUUCAAUCAAUUAUUGGCAUUUUUUCUUCCAAAUUUGUGUCUUCAAAUUAUUUAGAGUACCCUAGAAAAAAUCCUUAAGUGUGUGUGGGGAGUGUCCUAUAUGAAGUACUGAAAACAAUGACAAAUGGGAGCUCCAAAAAGACCAAGGUGUGUUUGUUUUUGUAUGAGAAAAUGCCCAUAGCUUUUUUUCCUCUUCAAGAACAUUAAAAUAACAAAAUGAAAAAAAAUAUGCACAUAAAUAAUACUAUUACUAUUCUCUUUCAUUUGGAAGGUUGAAUUAAUUAUUGUUCUGUUGCAUAAAUGAAGCUUUAAUGGCCCAAGACUUUGGUUAAGAAGUGGUUCAAUAUCAAGAAUAAAGCUGAAGAAUUUCAUGCGGAUGAUGUCUUCUAUGAAGGUUGUGAUCAAGAUUGAAGUAACAACUUCACAAAGAGAGAGAGGCAUACACUAUCAAGAAAAGCAAGAUGGGUUCAAUAUAUAUCACAUUAUAUUGCAUUUGGACCACUCUGCCCUUUUGAUUCCAUAUAUACUAAUAUUUCAAGAAUCACUUUUUCCAUUCAAAUUUGUGCUUUAAUCUCAUAAUUGCUCUUCUUCUAAUGCUUUUUUUUCUCACUACCCAUUCAUAGCUUCAAAUGAACUGAUCUUAGAAAAUGAGAUAUCUUUGUCUGUGUUUGUGUUGAUCUUCA